UAAUGUUACUAAUGAAAACUUAUACUGAAAAAUGUAAUGAGGGGAUCAUUAUACCAGAAAUAUUUACUGUACACAUUAUUGUCAGCCGUUAGCAAGGAACCGAGGUAGACGAAUUCUUCUACCACCUCGAAAGUAUCCUCGCCUAUCGUAACAUUGCUGACAAGGCUUGUCAUGUCUCUCUCAGUCCCACCUAUCAGCAUGCAUUUCGUUUUCGCCGCAUUUACCACCAGUUAGGCUGCUUCACGCGGGUAUACUGUUCGGCACUUUCCAAAUGUUCUAGCAAUUAUAUCCAUGUCAUCCGCAAAAUAGACAAAUUGUCCGGAUUUCGUGAAGAUCGGAGGCGCUUUUUCUCCCGGGAGAGGCGAGUCUGCUGCCUCCGCCUGUCUAUAUCGCUCCACAUUCUGUCGGGUUCCAUGCUGCAGCGUUACCACCCGCGCUGUAUUCUUCUCCAAAACCGCUCUGCACUUCUCGGUAGAUGGGAUGAUUACCUCUAAACGUUCGCACCAUAGAUUCUAUCCAAUACACCUCCUACAACGCAACCAUUCCAAACCCGCAAUUCUUCAGUACAUAGGCUAGUAUGCGGGUGCUCCCAAAGAAGUUGAGAGAUCUGCAUCUCCGCGUCUUACGUGUCAGACGUUGACUUUACGGUGCUUGUUUUUUUUACGGCCGGCUUGCAGGGCCUAACACCCCCCGGUUUACUGUCCGGAGGAACCCAGUAAGUUUGUCGAUGAAAACCCCCUCCCCUCCCCCUCACGGUUCCUGUCAGCAUACGACCACAGUUCCCACCGGGGUUUGUUACCUCAUCUUCCCUAAGGUUGCUCGUAACCCGGCCGGUGCAACGUGGCGGUAGGGGUCGGAAUAGCAUGGCAAGAGGCUGAAGGACCACAAGAGGUCUAAAUCGCAUUGCCAGCUUUUACCGUGCCAAUGCUCUACAAUUUUGAUUGUAUUAAUUAAUAAAAUUUCAAUGGGCUCGACGGCAUACAUCAAUAUUCUAUAGCAGCAAUCACCGAAAAAUAUCAUCAACCAAUAAAUAUAUCAAUUUUAUUAUCCUGAAAAACUAGUAGUGUUCCAUUUUUCUAGAUGGAAAUCCUUAUCGACUUUCACCGCAUUUUUUUUAUGAAAAAAUACCCAUUUUACGAAUCGACAACAAUGUUGAUGAUGAUAUUGAUUUUCACGAGGUAGUGACACUACCUCCUGUCGUUUAUAAAAUAAGCCCUAAAAUGCGAAAUACAUAUUCUUCUUCGUCUGACGAUGUCAACACUGAGCCAAAUCCUGCUUCUCAGCUUAGUGUUAGUCUACGAGCAUUUCCACAGUUAUUCAUUUAGAGCUUCCUCUGCCAAUGUGUUUGUCUCUUUAAAAUUUCUUCAUUCGCAUCCAUAUAAAUUGUGAUGGCUAUAUGUAUGACAUUGUCAAAAGAAUGUUCUCAAUAAACAUUUACAAAUUUUCCAGAGUGAUAAGCAUUAAGCUAAUUUUUAGUCAAAUCUCAAAUCAUUUAGCAUGCAGUGUCCAAGUAUGCCAUUUAUUUUUUCACUAAUACUUUUAAUAUUUAUAAAAUAUCCAGUCAAAUAUCCCAUUUUUAUCCAUGAGGCAUGAUUUUUUUUGCAGGAAUUAGAAAUAUUAUUUAGGAAAACAAAGCACUUUAGGUUACAUUAGUUCAAGUAAAACGAUGGUUUUUAUUUAUUUUAUUUUAUUAUCCUUCAAAGAUACGUGUUUAUAAGGCGCAUUAAAUUUAUCGAAGUACAAAUGCCUAUUUCACCAGAAAAAAUGACUCGCACCACAAUUUCUGGUCAUAGAAAGCCAAUUUUAAGUUGAAAUAGUCUAGCUGAAAUAAUAUCGCAAGCCAUAUUUUGCACUUGAAUAGUUUUUUUUUUGACAUUUUGCAACAAACAUUGAUUACGCUUUAGAAAAGAAACUGAAUUUUCAUCCUCAAUUGAAAAAGAAGACGUGUAGUUUGUUUAUUGAAAGUUGUCAGAAUUAUGUAUUGUAAAACAUACUAAGAAACAUUAUUAAGUAUGCUUUGAUUCAUAUAGAACAUAAUUAUAACAUCUCAAAUAUGUUGCCGAAGCUCCACCUUCUGCGCUUUUUCGGUCAUAUAUCUGUCUGAAAAACGGUUUUAUUGUUAUGAACCAAAACACAGUAACUGGUCAUAUUGGAGUCGAAAUAAUUCCUAUAGAACAUGU